GACGAACGCUGGCGGCGUGCCUAAUACAUGCAAGUCGAACGCAGUGGGGACGGGUGAUUAACACGUGGGUAACCUCCCAUCAGACGGGAUAACACUUGGAAACAGGUGCUAAACCGAUAUUGAUGUAUGGACCCGCGGGGCAUUAGCUAGUUGGUGGGGUAACGGCUCACCAAGGCCACGAUGCAUAGCCGGCCUGAGAGGGUGAGCGGCCAAACUGGGAAUGAGACACGGCCCAGACUCCUACGGGAGGCAGCAGUGGGGAAUCUUGGGCAAUGGACGAAAGUCUGACCGAGCAAGGCCGCGUGAGUGAAGAAGGUUUUCGGGUCGUAAAGCUCUGUUGUUAGAGAGGCGGUAUCUGACCAGAAAGCCACGGCUAACUACGUGCCAGCAGCCGCGGUAAUAC
rnacentral:rRNA from 1 species